GAGUUUGAUCAUGGCUCAGAACGUACGCUGGCGGCACGCCUAACACAUGCAAGUCGAACGAAGUAGCAAUACUUAGUGGCAGACGGGUGAGUAACAUGUAGGUAUCUGCCCUUUGGCCUGGAAUAACACGAGGAAACUUGUGCUAAUACCGGAUAAGUCUUUACGGAGAAAGCUUUAUGCACCAUUGGAUGAGCCUGCACUUGAUUAGUUUGUUGGUGGGGUAAUGGCCUACCAAGACUGUGAUCAAUAGCUGAUUUGAGAGGAUGAUCAGCCACAUUGGGACUGAGACACGGCCCAAACUCCUACGGGAGGCAGCAGUGGGGAAUCUUGCACAAUGGAGGAAACUCUGAUGCAGCGAUGCCGCGUGAGUGAAGAAGGCCCUUGGGUUGUAAAGCUCUUUCGUCGGGGAAGAAAAUGACUGUACCCGAAUAAGAAGGUCCGGCUAACUUCGUGCCAGCAGCCGCGGUAAUACGAAGGGACCUAGCGUAGUUCGGAAUUACUGGGCUUAAAGAGUUCGUAGGUGGUUGAAAAAGUUAGUGGUGAAAUCCCAGAGCUUAACUCUGGAACUGCCAUUAAAACUUUUCAGCUAGAGUAUGAUAGAGGAAAGCAGAAUUUCUAGUGUAGAGGUGAAAUUCGUAGAUAUUAGAAAGAAUACCAAUUGCGAAGGCAGCUUUCUGGAUCAUUACUGACACUGAGGAACGAAAGCAUGGGUAGCGAAGAGGAUUAGAUACCCUCGUAGUCCAUGCCGUAAACGAUGUGUGUUAGACGUUGGAAAUUUAUUUUCAGUGUCGCAGGAAACCGAUAAACACACCGCCUGGGGAGUACGGCCGCAAGGUUAAAACUCAAAUGAAUUGACGGG
rnacentral:rRNA from 1 species